UUGAGUUGACAUAGACUCAAGUAAUUUCCCUCAAAUUAGGAUGGUGCGUCAAGAUUUUAAUGGUCGGGAUAGCUCAGCCGGUAGAGCAAAGGACUGAAAAUCCUUGUGUCACCAGUUCAAAUCUGGUUCCCGGCGACUCAUUAUGUAUGAGUAUCUAUUG
rnacentral:tRNA from 1 species